rnacentral:tRNA from 1 species
CAGGGAGACAACAAAAUGUUAAAUAUUAAUUUUGUCACCUUAGGUCGAUCGGUAUCUCACUUUCUUAAUUUUUUUGAGGAAUUCAUUUCCUAAGUUUUUUCUAGGUCACACCCAUCACUUUUCCUGGGCCAUUAGCUCAGGUGGUUAGAGCGCACCCCUGAUAAGGGUGAGGUCCCUGGUUCAAGUCCAGGAUGGCCCAUAUCUCUAUUUUGGGGGUAUAGCUCAGUUGGUAGAGCGCCUGCUUUGCAAGCAGGAUGUCAGCGGUUCGAGUCCGCUUACCUCCACUGAUUACCACCUCUCCCAUAAUGUUUAGAUAAGGAAAUGUUUUGAGUUGUGAUCAAAUUCUGAACGAAUCUAGCUUCCUAAUGAAAUUAUUAAGAUGCUGGAUUCAUUGAAUUAAUUUCAUUGUUUUCAGAGAACCUUGACAACUGCAUAGAUUAUUUUUAAAGACAAUAAGCAUCUUUAAUGAUGCAGAUUUAUUAUUUAUGCGAAUGCAUUAAUAACAAUUCUAUUAAGCUGAUGCUUCAAUUUUUGAAGUCAUU